rnacentral:rRNA from 1 species
GGUUGAUCCUGCCGGAGGUCACUGCUAUCGGGUUCGAUUAAGCCAUGCGAGUCGAGAGGGUUCAGACCCUCGGCGGACUGCUCAGUAACACGUGGAUAACCUGACCUGUGUGUGGAGCAUAACCCCGGGAAAACUGGGUGAUAAUACUCCAUAAGUUACGAUAUCUGGAAUGAUUUGUAGCUCAAAGCUCCGGCGCCACAGGAUGGAUCUGCGGCCGAUUAGGUAGUAGUUGGGGUAGAGGCCCAACUAGCCUGUAAUCGGUACGGGUUGUGGGAGCAAGAGCCCGGAGAUGGAAUCUGAGACACGAUUCCAGGCCCUACGGGGCGCAGCAGGCGCGAAAACUUUACAAUGCAGGAAACUGUGAUAAGGGAACCCCGAGUGCCCGUACACGCGGGCUGUCUGGGUGUUUAAAAUGCACCCAAAUGACAGGGCCGGGCAAGACCGGUGCCAGCCGCCGCGGUAAUAACCGGCGGCUCGAGUGGUGACCACUUUUAUUGGGCUACAGCGUUCGUAGCUGGACUGCUAAUUCCCUUGGGAAAUCAGCGGCUUACCGGCGGGCGUCUAAGGGAUACUGACAGUCUUGGGACCGGGCGACGUAAGAGGUACUACGGGGGGUAGGAGUGAAAUACUGUAAUCCCCGGGGGACCACCGGUGGCGAAGGCGUCUUACAGAACGGGUCCGAAA